UUCGCUGGGUUCUGUGAAAGUGCGGGUUCAGGCCCCUUCCUUCGGUAGUGAGCUCGAGCCCAGACAGAUUUUCAUGAGUAUCAUGUGGAGCUUGGGCAGGUGCAAAACUCCUACUUUCCAUAAGAAAACCUACCCCCGCAUCUUUGUAAGACUUCGGGUGAUGUUUUAAGUCAGGAACUUAGGAGGUACAUCUGCAACCCGUGUCCUUAUUCAAAUGACAAAGGCAGAUUGUUUUGGCCUCCAAGAUCAGACCAUAAUUCAUGCUUCCUGGCAUUCAGGCCUCUGUGUCAUCUCAUCAUAGAUGGAGGGGUGUGGUACCUGCAUGGCCAAUAGAAUAUAACAAAAAAUGAAUGUGAGUCUUGAUAUUGGGUCCUAAAAGGAAAUGUGUUUGCCUUUUAAUGUCUUGGAUCUCUUGGUUUGGGGGAAGUCGGCUGCCAUAUUCUGAGGCCAUGUCUUCUGUCGGUGUGGAUCUGGUAUAGAACCGAAGCCUGUCAGUCUGCAGAAUUAAUUGUGUCACACUCCCUAGGAAUUGGUCAUCCUACUCAG
rnacentral:lncRNA from 1 species